AACGUAGGACACAAGCGUUAUCCGGAGUUACUGGGCGUAAAGGGCGUGUAGGCGGACCUAUAAGUCUAUUCUGAAAGCUCCUGGCUAAACUGGGAGAGGCGAAUGGAGACUGUAGAUCUAGAGUGAGGAAGAGGAAAGUGGAAUUCCGCGUGUAGUGGUGAAAUGCGUAGAGAUGGCGGAAGGAACACCAGUGGCGGAAAGCGACUUUCUGGUCCUUAACUGACGCUGAGGCGGCGAAAAGCAUGGGGAGCGAACGGG
rnacentral:rRNA from 1 species